rnacentral:rRNA from 1 species
UACGGAGGGUGCAAGCGUUAUUCGGAAUUACUGGGCGUAAAGCGUACGCAGGCGGUUUGUUAAGUCAGAUGUGAAAUCCCCGGGCUCAACCUUGGAACUGCAUUUGAAACUGGCAAGCUAGAGUCUGGUAGAGGUGGGUGGAAUUCCAAGUGUAGCGGUGAAAUGCGUAGAUAUUUGGAAGAACACCGGUGGCGAAGGCGGCCCCCUGGACGAAGACUGACGCUCAGGUGCGAAAGCGUGGGGAGCAAACAGG